CCUACGGGUGGCAGCAGUGAGGAAUAUUGGUCAAUGGGCGCGAGCCUGAACCAGCCAAGUAGCGUGAAGGAGGACUGCCCUACGGGUUGUAAACUUCUUUUAUAAAGGAAUAAAGUGAGGCACGGGUGCCGUUUUGUAGGUACUUUAUGAAUAAGGAUCGGCUAACUCCGUGCCAGCAGCCGCGGUAAUACGGAGGAUCCGAGCGUUAUCCGGAUUUAUUGGGUUUAAAGGGAGCGUAGAUGGGUUGUUAAGCCCGUUGUGAAAGUUUGGGGCUCAACCGUAACAGUGCAAUUGAUACUGGCAGCGUUGAGGACAGUUGAGGUAUGCGGAAUGCGUGGUGUAGCGGUGAAAUGCUUAGAUAUCACGAAGAACUCCGAUUGCGAAGGCAGCAUACCGGCGCUCAACUGACGCUCAUGCACGAAAGUGUGGGUAUCGAACAGGAUUAGAUACCCGUGUAGUC
rnacentral:rRNA from 1 species